rnacentral:rRNA from 1 species
AUUGAACGCUGGCGGCAUGCCUUACACAUGCAAGUCGAACGGCAGCAUGAUCUAGCUUGCUAGAUUGAUGGCGAGUGGCGAACGGGUGAGUAAUACAUCGGAACGUGCCCUGUAGUGGGGGAUAACUAGUCGAAAGAUUAGCUAAUACCGCAUACGACCUGAGGGUGAAAGUGGGGGACCGCAAGGCCUCAUGCUAUAGGAGCGGCCGAUGUCUGAUUAGCUAGUUGGUGAGGUAAAGGCUCACCAAGGCGACGAUCAGUAGCUGGUCUGAAAGGACGAUCAGCCACACUGGGACUGAGACACGGCCCAGACACCUACGGGAGGCAGCAGUGGGGAAUUUUGGACAAUGGGGGCAACCCUGAUCCAGCAAUGCCGCGUGUGUGAAGAAGGCCUUCGGGUUGUAAAGCACUUUUGUCCGGAAAGAAAUCGCACUUACUAAUAUUAGGUGUGGAUGACGGUACCGGAAGAAUAAGGACCGGCUAACUACGUGCCAGCCGCCGCAGUAAAAC